rnacentral:rRNA from 1 species
GAUGAACGCUGGCGGCGUGCCUAACACAUGCAAGUCGAGCGAUCUUCUUCGGAAGAGAGCGGCGGACGGGUGAGUAACGCGUGGGUAACCUGCCCUGUACACACGGAUAACAUACCGAAAGGUAUGCUAAUACGGGAUAACAUAAGAAAGUCGCAUGGCUUUCUUAUCAAAGCUUUUGCGGUACAGGAUGGACCCGCGUCUGAUUAGCUAGUUGGUAAGGUAACGGCUUACCAAGGCGACGAUCAGUAGCCGACCUGAGAGGGUGAUCGGCCACAUUGGAACUGAGACACGGUCCAAACUCCUACGGGAGGCAGCAGUGGGGAAUAUUGCACAAUGGGCGAAAGCCUGAUGCAGCAACGCCGCGUGAGCGAUGAAGGCCUUCGGGUCGUAAAGCUCUGUCCUCAAGGAAGAUAAUGACGGUACUUGAGGAGGAAGCCCCGGCUAACUACGUGCCAGCAGCCGCGGUAAUACGUAGGGGGCUAGCGUUAUCCGGAAUUACUGGGCGUAAAGGGUGCGUAGGCGGUCUUUCAAGUCAGAAGUGAAAGGCUACGGCUCAACCGUAGUAAGCUUUUGAAACUGUAAGACUUGAGUGCAGGAGAGGAGAGUGGAAUUCCUAGUGUAGCGGUGAAAUGCGUAGAUAUUAGGAGGAACACCAGUUGCGAAGGCGGCUCUCUGGACUGUACUGACGCUGAGGCACGAAAGCGUGGGGA